AUAUUUAUUUUACAUGAAGGGCCGCCUCAAGGCCCUGAGCCGUUUCUCUGAUCGUCUCACGUCUAAACCAAGUCGGUUAUCUUAAUAUGUAUUUCUCAUUUUAUUUGUUGAAGAGAGCAAAAUAGAGAGUAUAAAGAGGGACAAAAGUUGCUACAGAGAGAACAACCAAGCUGAGCUAACAUCUAAAAAAGAAUACUAUAGAAAUGCUUUAAGUGUAGCCAAAGAAGCUGAAGCAUUAGCAGAAUCACGGGCAAAUGAUGAAGCCAUAGUUGAACUAGAAAACCGCAUAAAGGAAUAUGAAGAACGUGAAGCUAUGUUAGUUUAUUGUGCAAGUAUAUGGAUUUGGCUUGUGUUGUUUUUGGAUUAAAAAUGUGUAGUAAAGUUGGCCUCUUUUGGUUAACAAAAAUGGUCCGAACAUUCUUAUCUUAUUUUCAGUAUUGUCAUAUUUGAUUAUUUUUAGUAAUUGAACAUUAUGAGUUGUGUGUUUUUA